CCUACGGGCGGCAGCCGUGGGGAAUAUUGGACAAUGGGGGCAACCCUGAUCCAGCCAUGCCGCGUGUGUGAAGAAGGCCCUCGGGUUGUAAAGCACUUUCAGUGAGGAAGAACGCCUGGUGGUUAAUACCCAUCAGGAAAGACAUCACUCACAGAAGAAGCACCGGCUAACUCCGUGCCAGCAGCCGCGGUAAUACGGAGGGUGCGAGCGUUAAUCGGAAUUACUGGGCGUAAAGCGCGCGUAGGUGGCUUGAUAAGCCGGUUGUGAAAGCCCCGGGCUCAACCUGGGAACGGCAUCCGGAACUGUCAAGCUAGAGUGCAGGAGAGGAAGGUAGAAGUCCCGGUGUAGCGGUGAAAUGCGUAGAGAUCGGGAGGAAUACCAGUGGCGAAGGCGGCCUUCUGGACUGACACUGACACUGAGGUGCGAAAGCGUGGGUAGCAAACAGGAUUAGAUACCCUUGUAGUC
rnacentral:rRNA from 1 species